UGGCGACCGGCGCACGGGUGAGUAACGCGUAUGCAACCUGCCCGAUACCGGGGUAUAGCCCAUGGAAACGUGGAUUAACACCCCAUAGUACUUUUAUCCUGCAUGGGAUGUGAGUUAAAUGUUCAAGGUAUCGGAUGGGCAUGCGUCCCAUUAGUUAGUUGGCGGGGUAACAGCCCACCAAGACGAUGAUAGGUAGGGGUUCUGAGAGGAAGGUCCCCCACAUUGGAACUGAGACACGGUCCAA
rnacentral:rRNA from 1 species